ACCCCGGAAACACGUUCUGCGCAUGUGCGGGAGCCACACAGUCUCAGCCCGCCAGCCACUGAAGCUAUAAAUUCUAGCGAAACGAAACCUAACUCCAUCUUUUGUUCAGUCAACUGGCUUGAAGACGCUCGUUGCUGCCGCUCCGCACAACAUGAGCACACGGGAGGCCUGGCUGCUGAAGUGGAUCGAACACAGAACCGCUGAAAAGCAGUGGAAACCCAUCAGAUCUGCUCUCCUGGUGCUGAUGUGUGAGAAAUUGCUCGCUGCCACGAUUCCGGACGUGUGAGGACACAGAACCGCUGGAAAGCAACGGAAUCACCAUCUAAUCAUUUUCUCUCCUUCGUACCAAAAACGCCAUAGGAACAACUGAAAUAAACAAGACACGAGUCUUACCUCCAUGUCCUCCUUCACCUGCUCCUGCUGGUCUCUCAGCUCACCAAAAGCAUCGAUGAUCAAACCUGCAUCAGAAAAACAAAUGAACCUGAUUAACCUGAAAGGACCAAUGAGAAGUCCUGAUGGACGUACCCUGAAUGAUGGCCAGCAGGAUGACGAUGACGAAGAAGAAGAAGGUGAUGUCAAACAGGAUGCGGUAGAGUUCAUAUGGAUCUCCGGCCGGGUCCUCCAGCUCGUCUCCGAUGCCUCCUCCCGCUCUCACGCCCACGUACAUGUGGAACAAGUAGCACUGCGGGGAAAGAAAGCGCCAGUCGUACUUUAUUAUCUGCUAACAGAAACUCCGAUGUUAUUUUCAUCCUGCUGCUGAAAUAAAACAUCUGUCAGCGA